rnacentral:misc_RNA from 1 species
CUCUGGAACCUGUGUGCUCUCUGCCUCUGUGCUCUCAA